rnacentral:lncRNA from 1 species
GGACGGUGGGUAGAAUGCACUUGGCUUCUGCCUGUCCAAUCAUGCAUUUUUUGAUGAUAAAUACAGGGUUAAAGAAAAGAGAAAGAUGAUUAGAAAGCUAAGGUAGGGUUAAUAUUAUGGAUAAAGGCAUUGAAAUUUUGGGAGGGCCUGACUAGUUAGUAAAAAGCAAAAGAAGACAGUGAGCUGACAAAGGCAGUGAAUAUUUGGAAGUGAGAGCAGUGGUCGUGUUCUUGAGGCUGACUUUUGC